ensembl:lncRNA
AAAAAGGGGAGUGAGAAAAGGGGGGAGUAUGAUGAGAGAAAAGGGAGAGGAGAAAGAGAAAAAGAGGGAUAAGGGGGAUGUCAUUGGAUUGGCUGACUGUUUUUUAUUUUAUUUUUUAUUUCACCUUUAUUUAACCACGUAGGCUAGUUGAGAACAAGUUCUCAUUUACAACUGCGACCUGGCCAAGAUAAAGCAUAGCAGUGUGAACAGACAACAACACAGAGUAGUUACACAUGGAGUAAACAAUUAACAAGUCAAUAACACAGUAGAAAAAAAGAGUCUAUGUACAUUGUGUGCAAAAGGCAUGAGGAGGUAGGCGAAUAAUUACAAUUUUGAAAAUUAACACUGGAGUGAUAAAUGAUCAGAUGGUCAUGUGCAGGUAGAGAUACUGGUGUGCAAAAGAGCAGAAAAGUAAAUAAAUAAAAACAGUAUGGGGAUGAGGUAGGGAGAUUGGGUGGGCUAUUUACCAAUGGACUAUGUACAGCUGCAGCGAUCGGUUAGCUGCUCAGAUAGCAGAUGUUUAAAGUUGGUGAGGGAGAUAAGUCUCCAACUUCAGCGAUUUUUGCUAUUCGUUCCAGUCACAGGUAGCAGAGAACUGGAAGGAAAGGUGGCCAAAUGAGGUGUUGGCUUUAGGGAUGAUCAGUGAGAUACACCUGCUGGAGCGCGUGCUACGGGUGGGUGUUGCCAUCGUGACCAAUGAACUGAGAUAAGGCGGAGCUUUACCUAGCAUGGACUUGUAGAUGACCUGGAGCCAGUGGGUCUGGCGACGAAUAUGUAGCGAGGGCCAGCCGACUAGAGCCUACAAGUCGCAGUGGUGGGUGGUAUAAGGUGCUUUAGUAACAAAACGGAUGGCACUGUGAUAAACUGCAUCCAGUUUGCUGAGUAGAGUAUUGGAAGCUAUUUUGUAGAUGACAUCGCCGAAGUCGAGGAUCGGUAGGAUAGUCAGUUUUACUAGGGUAAGUUUGGCGGCGUGAGUGAAGGAGGCUUUGUUGCGGAAUAGAAAGCUGACUCUAGAUUUGAUUUUAGAUUGGAGAUGUUUGAUAUGAGUCUGGAAGGAGAGUUUACAGUCUAGCCAGACACCUAGGUACUUAUAGAUGUCCACAUAUUCUAGGUUGGAACCAUCCAGGGUGGUGAUGCUAGUCGGGCAUGCGGGUGCAGGCAGCGAAUGGUUGAAAAGCAUGCAUUUGGUUUUACUAGCGUUUAAGAGCAGUUGGAGGCCAUGGAAGGAGUGUUGUAUGGCAUUGAAGUUCGUUUGGAGGUUAGAUAGCACAGUGUCCAAGGAAGGGCCAGAAGUAUACAGAAUGGUGUCGUCUGCGUAGAGGUGGAUCAGGGAAUCGCCCGCAGCAAGAGCAACAUCAUUGAUAUAUACAGAGAAAAGAGUCGGCCCGAGAAUUGAACCCUGUGGCACCCCCAUAGAGACUGCCAGAGGACCGGACAACAUGCCCCCCCGAUUUGACACAAAUCUGGUUAGCUUCUGGAGGUUCUUGAAUGUGUUCUAAAAUUAAAAAUAAUAGCGAUACCGUAUCACAUUGGGUGAGGCAGGUUACCGGAAGGUAUAAUCGAAUAAAAAAUCGAAGAGAUCGAAAAUAAAAUUGAAAUAUAUAUAUACGAAAAAUACAAAAGUACACGAGACACGAACAAAACACGUCUUCACUGCUACGCCAUCUUGGGAAAUUAUCACUGUUAGUGAUAACACCAAUGGAUGCAAUAGCGCUAUGUGGCCACCAGAUGGAGAGGACCUGAGCCCUAGGACCAUGCCCCAGGACUACCUGACAUGAUGACUCCUUGCUGUCCCCAGUCCACCUGGCCGUGCUGCUGCUCCAGUUUCAACUGUUCUGCCUUAAUAUUAUUCGACCAUGCUGGUCAUUUAUGAACAUUUGAACAUCUUGGCCAUGUUCUGUUAAUCUCCACCCGGCACAGCCAGAAGAGGACUGGCCACCCCACAUAUGCUCUCUCUAAUUCUCUCUUUCUUUCUCUCUCUCGGAGGACCUGAGCCCUAGGAUCAUGCCCCAGGACUACCUGACAUGAUGACUCCUUGCUGUCCCCAGUCCAUCUGACUGUGCUGCUGCUCCAGUUUCAACUGUUCCGCCUUAUUAUUAUACGACCAUGCUGGUCAUUUAUGAACAUUUGAACAUCUUGGCCAUGUUCUGUUAUAAUCUCCACCCGGCACAGCCAGAAGAGGACUGGCCACCCCACAUAGCCUGGUUCCUCUCUAGGUUUCUUCCUAGGUUUUGGCCUUUCUAGGGAGUUUUUCCUACCAACGUGCUUCUACACCUGCAUUGCUUGCUGUUUGGGGUUUUAGCUUGGGUUUCUGUACAGCACUUUGAGAUAUCAGCUGAUGUAUGGAGGGCUAUAUAAAUCAAUUUGAUUUUUGAUUUGAUGAUGGUAAUGAUGAUGGUGGUUGUAGUACUGAUGUAAUGGUGAAGAUUAGUUAUUUAGUUAUAAGUUAGUUUUAGUUUCAUUUUCCAUUUUUAUUUAUUAUAUUUCUACUACUGACUUACCUUGUUAUUUUUGUAUUUCAUGUUGUAUUAUCAUUUGCCACCAUUUUAUAUUACUAUUUGUUAUCUUUUUAUAAUUGUAUUACAAUGUAUAUUGUACACAUUGUUGCUUUGGCAAAAGUGAGACAAUGUUUUUCAUACCAAUAAAGCAGCUUGAAUUAGGAAAAAAUGAAUUUG